GCCGGACCGGCGAGACCCUUUGAAAUUUGGAUAUGUGUGCAACCGCCUUAGGUUUACGCGGCUAAGCAAUGUAUACCCCUCGUGCUCGUGGUGUCAAUCACUAUAUAAAGGGUCGCCAUGCUCCGGUAGAAGAACAUCACAAACUCGAGAGCAGAGAGCACCUGCACAGCAAUCGCCACUGUCUUGCGUUUCUCUGUGAUUUCGACCGCGGCGUCGACCAUGAGCUACCCGCCACCGGGCACCGCGUACCCGCAGCCGGGCCAGGAGGCCUACCCGCCGCCGGCGUACGGCGCUCCGCCGCCUGUUGCCGCCAACUACUACCAGCAGCAGGCCCCGCCGCCGGAACCGGAGGACAGCGGCGACGGCUUCUGGAAAGGAUGUUGUGCUGCGAUUUGCUGCUGCUGUCUGCUCGACACGUGUUGCUGAUCACAAGACUUCGUACCGCCAACACCAGGCAAUCCUACGACGAUCUACAUCAGCUGCUCGUAUAUAGUUUCUUUCUAUCGUAGUAGUAUUUGUGCUGUUCGGAUCGAGAUUUGUAUGACGGUGUAGGUCACUACAUCGAGUUGUACUAUUACCUGCCCCGCAAAAAAAAACUGUACUAUUACCUCCGUUCGAAAAUAAAUGACGUUGUUUUAGUUUAAAUUACUAGUUAAUUUUGCAUC